UGGGGAAUAUUGGACAAUGGGCGAAAGCCUGAUCCAGCAAUGCCGCGUGUGUGAAGAAGGCCCUCGGGUUGUAAAGCACUUUUAUCAGGAACGAAAUACCGCGGGUUAAUAACCUACGGGGCUGACGGUACCUGAGGAAUAAGCACCGGCUAACUUCGUGCCAGCAGCCGCGGUAAUACGAAGGGUGCAAGCGUUAAUCGGAAUUACUGGGCGUAAAGGGUGCGUAGGCGGUUAUUUAAGUCUGCCGUGAAAUCCCCGGGCUCAACCUGGGAAUGGCGGUGGAUACUGGAUAGCUAGAGUGUGUCAGAGGAUGGUGGAAUUCCCGGUGUAGCGGUGAAAUGCGUAGAGAUCGGGAGGAACAUCAGUGGCGAAGGCGGCCAUCUGGGACAACACUGACGCUGAAGCACGAAAGCGUGGGGAGCAAACA
rnacentral:rRNA from 1 species